UACAGAGGUCUCAAGCGUUGUUCGGAUUCAUUGGGCGUAAAGGGUGCGUAGGUGGCGCUGUAAGUCAGGUGUGAAAUUUCGGAGCUUAACUCCGAAACUGCAUUUGAUACUGCGGUGCCUGAGGACUGGAGAGGAGACUGGAAUUUACGGUGUAGCAGUGAAAUGCGUAGAGAUCGUAAGGAAGACCAGUGGCGAAGGCGGGUCUCUGGACAGUUCCUGACACUGAGGCACGAAGGCCAGGGGAGCAAACGGG
rnacentral:rRNA from 1 species